rnacentral:lncRNA from 7 species
GAGCUCCAAACUUGAAGCGGCGCCACGGCCAAGGUGUCCUCUGUCGCCAUUGCAGGAGCUGCGAGGGUGCGCGAAUCCGAAUGGUGGCUGAUUGGUGAACCUAGAGCACCCUUUGCCCCAGGUUCUAGCUCUGGCCCGGUUUUUUCUCUUUACAUUUAAGCUGUAGGCAGAGGAAAUCCUCGUUAGAGGCCUUCUCCCCACCCCGCUUCUCAGCCACAAACUGUUGUUUCAUUAGGAAUCUCACCAGAAACCCGUUUUCAGGUGAAGGCCGAGUACUCAGCCCCUUGUGGUGCCUGGUUUUACUUGAUCACAUUGUAAUUCCAUCCUAGGAACCACUCUAUAAGUUCACUUAACAGAGAGAAGUGGAGUGGUUCUUAGCAACCUUUUGCGAUGUAACUUAACCACCAAAGAGAUAUCUGGCUAAUAUGGCAGCUCUCGAGAAGUCCGUAUUUACACGUUGCGGGGAUAACGAUAGGCCUUCAUGCUGGUCCUGAGCUUUUACCGUGAUGCUUCCCCCGUUGCCCUCUGUUUGGAUGUCCAUUCCCACCUUUGGCCUGGGUUCCACUAAGUUAAAGGAGCCCGGUACUCUUAUUCCCACGCUGCCUCCGGAAGGUAAAUCUGCUCAAAGGCGAUCUGCGUGCUGUAGCAGCUAAGAUUUGAAUCCAGACGUCAGGACUCAGUACCUUCCCUACAAAAAUCCCUUUGUGGUCCAGCCAAAGAACUAAAUGCAAGCGGGCGACCAUCUCGACCGCAGCCAGAAAGAGGGGGAAAGCGACACCAAGAAUCCAUUCCAAACGAAAAACCAAGAGGAGACGCGGCAGCUCCUAGAUGUUGAUGUUUUGUUUUUUUGACAUAAAUCUUCGCACUCAUAUGGGAGUUUUCAUUG